rnacentral:rRNA from 1 species
UAAGGGAUAUUGGUCAAUGGGGCGGGAGCCUGAACCAGCCAUGCCGCGUGAGGGAAUGAGGCCCUACGGGUCGUAAACCUCUUUUGCCGGGGGAUAACGGGCGCCACGCGUGGCGCCGUGAAGGUACCCGGAGAAUAAGCAUCGGCUAACUCCGUGCCAGCAGCCGCGGUAAUACGGAGGAUGCGAGCGUUAUCCGGAUUUAUUGGGUUUAAAGGGUGCGCAGGCGGGCGUCUAAGUCAGCGGUGAAAGUUCCCGGCUCAACCGGGUCAGUGCCGAUGAUACUGGGGGUCUUGAAUGCGGUCGAGGCCGGCGGAAUGUGGCGUGUAGCGGUGAAAUGCAUAGAUAUGCCACAGAACAC